rnacentral:antisense_RNA from 1 species
AGUGAAUGACCUGUUGCAGUGCUUUCAUUGAAGUGUUCUUCAUUCCCUCAGCAAUAUGAUUGUGAUGACUGAAAAAGAGAAACUGUGCCACUAUUUGUACCAUCAUUUUCACCAAAAUCUAAAAAUGCUUUUUAUGACGUAUGGAGACAUUCUUCAUGUUUGUUUCAGUGGACACUGCUUGCAGAUGUAAAAAACUGAGAAAACUCACUUUUGGAAAGUGACCUAAAGAGUGUCAUUGAAGUGAAUUUUAAGUAGGCACGAUGAUUGUUUUCAUGGUUGCUGUUGGAUCAUAUCUCAGGAGCUGGAAUGACAGACAUUAUUGAACAAAGAAAUCAGGAUAGUGGAACUUAAAGGGCUUCAUCUCAGUGCUUUCAUAAGUAUGAAGUGCAUAUAUUUAUAAUUUUCACUAAUCACAGGGUAAAUAUAAAAUUGAUUCAUUAAAAAUGUUUCAUAAGAAUUCAAAGGACAUAGAAUUUUGUGAAAUGUAGUAUUUUUACUUAAGUGCCUUUUCUCUAUUUCUACCCCACAGCCAAUUUUUUAUAAACCAGUUGAUACAUAAGUAGUUUUGGGGGGAUGAUACAUUACUUAUACAUUUUCUAUGUAGUAAACAUGUAUGUGUAUGUGUGUGGGUGUGUGUCUAAUUACUUUGUUGGACUGAUUCCUGUGGUUUGGAACUGCUGGGGCCAAGUUUAUACAAAAAUCUACAUUUUUGAGUAAACUCCCCAUGACUCUAGUAAGUUCCCACGGUAUUUGAGAAUUCUUUAUUUCCUAAAGCUGUACAAACAUCAGAUAAUCAAUAUUUGUAAGGAUCGAUAAUAUAAUUUAUAAUGAAAUUGCUUUAUCAGCUAUUAAUGUUAACUACAUCAUCUUCAUAUAGCCUUAUAACUCAUUUGUGCUAUUCCAUUUUCCUCUGUUCCUUUUAUUUUCACUUCCCUUGUAAUGUUAGUCUCUUUGUACUGAUUUCUGAAGAGUUCAUUUAUGAUUAAACGUGUUAACAUUUUGUCUAGAAUUGCAAAUAUGUUUUUUCUCAUUCAUUUUACUAUGGUGUUUUAUUUUUUGGUUAUACAGAAGUUGUAUAUUGAAAUAUAAUCUUGUUCGGUUUUAUGA